AUCAAGCUGACGAGUCCCUAAUGUGACGAAACGCGCGUCCUGGAU
rnacentral:hammerhead_ribozyme from 1 species